rnacentral:rRNA from 1 species
UACGAAGGGUGCAAACGUUGCUCGGAAUCAUUGGGCGUAAAGCGCACGUAGGCGGCCUCGCAAGUUGGAUGUGAAAUCCCUCGGCUCAACCGAGGACGUGCAUCCAAAACUGCGGGGCUUGAGUACUGAAGAGGAUCGCGGAAUUCCCGGUGUAGAGGUGAAAUUCGUAGAUAUCGGGAGGAACACCAGUGGCGAAGGCGGCUGUCUGGGGUAUUGCUGACGCUGAGGCACGAAAGCGUGGGGAGCAAACAGG